AGUUUGAUGCUGGCUCAGGACGAACGCUGGCGCCCCGCCUCACGCUUGUCAGUCAAACCAAGCACCUUUUGAUAUUCUUCGGAUGAUCAUUUGGUGACUGAUUGGCUGACAGGUGUAUUAACGCGUGGGUUACACCUUCCCUGUACUUGGGGAUAACAGCCUUAAAUCGGCUGCUAAUACCGCGUAACCCCACAUGAGGACAUCCUCAAGUGUGAAAAACUCCGGCGGCACACGAUGGGCCCUCGUCUGAUUAGCUGGUUGGCGGGGCAACCGCCCACCCAAGUAACGAUGAUUGCCCGGUCUGAGAGGAUGAACGGCCACAUUGGAACUGAGACACGGACCACACCUCCUACGCGGAGGCGUCUCUGGGGGAUAUUGCAGAAUGGUGAGGAAACCCUUCGUAUGCACCAACGCCGGCAGUGAGUGAACAAGUAUUUGGGUAUGUAAAUCUCUAUCAGUAGGGAAGAUAAUGACGGUACCUGAAUAAGAAGCUCCGGCUAAAUACGUGCCAGCAGCCGCGGUAAUACGUAUGGAGCAAGCGUUAUCCGGAUUUACUGGGUGUAAAGGGUGCGUAGGCGGCACAGCAAGUCAGAUGUGAAAGCCCGGGGCUCAACCCCGUGGCCUGCAUUUGAAACUGCCGAUCUUGAGUCCGGGAGAGGCAGGCGGAAUUCCUAGUGUAGCGGUGAAAUGCGUAGAUAUUAGGAGGAACACCAGUGGCGAAGGCGGUCUGCUGGACAGCAACUGACGCUGAGGCACGAAAGCGUGGGUAGCAAACAGGAUUAGAUACCCUGGUAGUCCACGCUGUAAACGAUGA
rnacentral:rRNA from 1 species